CGACCACUUGUGCAGGAAGGAGCCUGGUGCCCGAGGAGUAGUGAAGAUGUUGGUCUCAUCAUGGGACAGGCGGCGGGACAGAGGGACCUGGGGAGAGGAAUAAGUAGACCCAGAGAUGCUGCAGGGACAAAGGGAUGAAGGCAGGAACAAAAGCGGGCCAGGGCUCCGGAAUGGGGCGUCGGGAUGGAGAACAGAAACUGGAGAAAAGUAGUGAGGGGAUACCCAGAAGAGGAGCUGCAUUCCCUGGACCCGUACCUGGAUGUCUUGGCCGACUCGGAGCCAUCCAGCGAGGACCGCCGCUUCCCUCGGGCAUCCUCCACCACAAUGGCUGGCACCUCAAAGGCUGGCCGGGUGCCCAAACCCCCUGGCCCACCACCCUUGGCCCCGCCUACAC